GACGAACGCUGGCGGCGUGCUUAACACAUGCAAGUCGAACGGAAAGGCCCUGCUUUUGUGGGGUGCUCGAGUGGCGAACGGGUGAGUAACACGUGAGUAACCUGCCCUUGACUUUGGGAUAACUUCAGGAAACUGGGGCUAAUACCGGAUAGGAGCUCCUGCUGCAUGGUGGGGGUUGGAAAGUUUCGGCGGUUGGGGAUGGACUCGCGGCUUAUCAGCUUGUUGGUGGGGUAGUGGCGUACCAAGGCUUUGACGGGUAGCCGGCCUGAGAGGGUGACCGGCCACAUUGGGACUGAGAUACGGCCCAGACUCCUACGGGAGGCAGCAGUGGGGAAUAUUGCACAAUGGGCGGAAGCCUGAUGCAGCAACGCCGCGUGCGGGAUGACGGCCUUCGGGUUGUAAACCGCUUUCGCCUGUGACGAAGCGUGAGUGGCGGUAAUGGGUAAAGAAGCACCGGCUAACUACGUG
rnacentral:rRNA from 1 species